CAUGAGGUGUGUGUUCUCUCUGUUUAGGUGUGUGUGAGAGCUGGUGGGGGUCUGACAGUUGUUUGAUGUGUGUUAAGUUGUCAGACCACAUGCACACCAGCACCCCUGCCCUCCCCCACUUUACCAAGGCAACUGUCUCCGCAAAGGUUUUAUUUGUGUUCUGACGAACUCUGAGUCAGACUCGUGUGGAAAAGUUAUGAUGUUGCCGAUGGUAAAAUAACCCUCGAGGAGAUACUGAUCAGCACAGGUGAUAUUAGCAAUUCAAUUACAGCCUGAUAUCCACUUUUAAUUAUGAGAAACUCAUUAAAGCUAACACUUGAGUUGCUCCUGGAGAGCGAGACCAUUUGGGUGUCAUUCUGGUCUUUUAAGCAGAGACGCUGGGGUGAUUGACACCAAGUUGUUACCAACAGGGUGGAAGUUUAUGCAUAAAUAUUUCCGCAGUGACUACUGAGCUUUACAGCUUUACAUUUGUUUGGCUGAACCAGCGUUGAGCUCAUCUUUUAAGAAGUGAUUACCUUGCAUAGACUUGUGGCAGCUGGUGCCCAGUUGCCCUGCCAGACUGUGGGUGGGGAAAAAAGUUUUCAUCUGUAGCUUUUCUCUUGCAGAUGAUACAGAGUAAAACGAUCAUACUCUUUUAUUUGGGAUGUUUCACUUGAGUUUUGGAUAGCUCUACUUUAAGUUAUUGUUAUAUUUUUGUUUUUUGUUUUUUUGUUUUUAAAAAGAGCAGCAGUUAACAGUUAACAGCAAGAUGGCACAAAAGCUAUGAGUACUGAAUACAUAGAUUUCCUUAUUUUCUCUUUGUCCUCCUCACAUUUAGCACUGUUUCAGUUGUGUUUCACUUUCACAGCCAUAAUAAAUAAAUGACGUAUAGUACUUCGAGAACAAUUAUAUUAAAUAAAAGGUCACAAAGGAUCAGGAAAUAGCCAUGCCGCAGCAACCGAGCAGUGUAAAUACUAAUACUGCACUUUCUUGUUUCCUUGCAGCAUACGUGCAAGAGGUCAGAUAAUUUUUUUCUUUGUGCACUUUUGACCUGAUGACCCCACUGCACUGCGUGUCAUUCAGAUAUCAAGAAGAACAGCAGCUAAGCUCAACAACAGGUCAACCCACUGCAGACUUGUUAGUGUUUUCUGUUUGUAGGUCAUCUGGCCAGGACAGUCUGUUGAUAGAAAUCUUCCUGCUUUCCAAAGUGUUGCUGUCUUCUGAGCCAAGACAGAAAUAUUUAUCAAAUACAAGACAGGAAAAUCCUGAAUAUUUUUGUUUUUAUAAAUAACUCAGGCUUGGACUCCGGAUCAUUCGUGAAAAUAGAAUAUUUACAGAGAGCGACUCCUCGUCUCUUAAGCUGAGUUGAGUUUUGAUAAUAAACAAAAUGUGAUGAGCUAAUUCAUGAUUUAUAGAAGCACUGUUGCAUGGCAACAGCGGCUUGUUUACAGCCACAGAGCGCUGUAUCAGUAUGUUUUCAUUUCCUGUCUGCUGCAGGAUAAUGACCUAUAAGGAGGUUUGUUUGUUUGGUGAUGGUAGGAAACAGAUACAGCAUAUAAUAGUGAG
ensembl:lncRNA